AUGCACGCUGGCGGCGUGCCUAAUCCAUGCCGGUCGAGCGAACGGACGAGAAGCUUGCUUCUCUGAUGUUAGCGGCGGACGGGUGAGUAACACGUGGAUAACCUACCUAUAAGACUGGGAUAACUUCGGGAAACCGGAGCUAAUACCGGAUAAUAUUUUGAACCGCAUGGUUCAAAAGUGAAAGACGGUCUUGCUGUCACUUAUAGAUGGAUCCGCGCUGCAUUAGCUAGUUGGUAAGGUAACGGCUUACCAAGGCAACGAUGCAUAGCCGACCUGAGAGGGUGAUCGGCCACACUGGAACUGAGGCACGGUCCAGACUCCUACGGGAGGCAGCAGUAGGGAAUCUUCCGCAAUGGGCGAAAGCCUGACGGAGCAACGCCGCGUGAGUGAUGAAGGUCUUCGGAUCGUAAAACUCUGUUAUUAGGGAAGAACAUAUGUGUAAGUAACUGUGCACAUCCUGACGGUACCUAAUCAGAAAGCCACGGCUAACUACGUG
rnacentral:rRNA from 1 species